rnacentral:rRNA from 1 species
AUUGAACGCUGGCGGCAUGCUUUACACAUGCAAGUCGAACGGUAACAGGCCUUCGGGUGCUGACGAGUGGCGAACGGGUGAGUAAUGCAUCGGAACGUACCCAGAGGUGGGGGAUAACGCAGCGAAAGCUGUGCUAAUACCGCAUGUGAUCUGAGGAUGAAAGCGGGGGACCGAGCAGCAAUGUUUGGCCUCGCGCCUUUGGAGCGGCCGAUGUCGGAUUAGCUAGUUGGUGGGGUAAAGGCCUACCCAGGCGACGAUCCGUAGCUGGUCUGAGAGGACGACCAGCCACACUGGGACUGAGACACGGCCCAGACUCCUACGGGAGGCAGCAGUGGGGAAUUUUGGACAAUGGGCGCAAGCCUGAUCCAGCAAUGCCGCGUGCGGGAAGAAGGCCUUGGGGUUGUAAACCGCUUUUGGCAGGAACGAAACGGUAUCCGCUAAUACCGGGCGCUAAUGACGGUACCUGCAGAAUAAGCACCGGCUAACUACGUG